GCACAGUUUGCUGCAGGGGGCAAGGGGGAGCAGGCAUCUCCCAGCAAAGGGGGGUGAACCCCCUGGAAUGGGGAACUGGACCUCUGCAAGGAGGUUGGAGGCUCAAGAGGUUCUGCCUGAAGAGCCAGGCAAAGGGAGUCCGGGACAAGGGUUGAUGAAGUUCUUUCGGCGAGGCCAAUGGGUACCCAGAGAAAUAGCCCUAGCUCCUGGUGAAAUGUUCUGCCAAGGCCUGGAUCCCAUACCGAAAGAGAUGCUCUCUUCCUGGGGGCGAAGAGGAGCAAGGCUACGCCGCGCUGCUCAAAGAUCUUGCCCUCCUCUGUCCUCUUUCACCUUGUGGGUGGCUGGAGAUGGAGGUGAACGCGAAGAGAACUAUCGGUACCAUCGUCUUAUGGGAAAUCUUGUCUCUUCCGCGGUGCCCGAAGAUGAACUUGCUCCUCCCACAUGGUACGAGGUUCCCACGGACGAAGCUGUGGGGCCCCCACCUCCUCCCCCACUGAGAUACCUGAUCAAUGGCAUGACCAUGGCAGAAGGGCAUCACUUGCCUUACCUCCGCUUUGACCAGGCCUUCCAAAGGGGAGAAUAAAAUGGAACAUCUUGCAGCGACAUCCCAAGUGGUGUAGCCCAGCUUCUC
rnacentral:lncRNA from 11 species